rnacentral:rRNA from 1 species
AGAGUUUGAUCAUGGCUCCGGAUGAACGCUAGCUACAGGCUUAACACAUGCAAGUCGAGGGGAAACGAUAUUGGAAGCUUGCUUCCGAUAGGCGUCGACCGGCGUACGGGUGAGUAACGCGUAUCCAACCUGCCCACCAACUUGGGGAUAACCUUGCGAAAGUAAGACUAAUACCCAAUGACGUCUCUAGAAGACAUCUGAAAGAGAUUAAAGAUUUAUCGGUGAUGGAUGGGGAUGCGUCUGAUUAGCUUGUUGGCGGGGUAACGGCCCACCAAGGCGACGAUCAGUAGGGGUUCUGAGAGGAAGGCCCCCCACAUUGGAACUGAGACACGGUCCAAACUCAUACGGGAGGCAGCA